rnacentral:rRNA from 1 species
AUUGAACGCUGGCGGCAGGCUUAACACAUGCAAGUCGAACGAGUGGCGGACGGGUGAGUAAUGCUUGGGACUCUAGCUUAUGGAGGGGGAUAACUACGGGAAACUGUAGCUACUACCGCGUACCAUAGGAUGAGCCCAGGUGGGAUUAGGUAGUUGGUGAGGUAAAGGCUCACCAAGCCGACGAUCUCUAGCUGGUCUGAGAGGAUGACCAGCCAAACGGGGACUGAGAGACGGCCCAGACUCCUACGGGAGGCAGAAGUGGGGAAUAGUGCGCAAUGGGGGCAACCUGACGCAGCCAUGCGGCGUGAAUGAAGAAGGCCUUCGGGUUGUAAAGUUCUUUCGGUAGGGAGGCGUUACCCGCAGAAGAAGAACCGGCUAACUCCGUGCCAGCAGCCGCGGUAAUUC